CCAUUGGGGUCUAUGGGGUCUCACAUUGGGGUUUUUGGGGGGUCCCAGUGGAAUCUAUGGGGCUGAAGUCUCCAUUGGGGUCUAUGGGGUCUCGCAUUGAGGUCUCUGGGGCUGGUGUCCCCCAUUGGGGUCUAUGGGGUUCCCAUUGGGGUCUAUGGGGUCUCCACUGGAGUUUAUGGGGUUUCCAUUGAGGUCUAUGGGAUUACCCAUUGGUGUCUAUGGAGUCUCCUAUUGGGGUCUAUGGGGUCCCCCAUUGCAAUCUAUGGGGCUGAGGUCCCCAUUGGGGUCUAUGGGGUCUCUGUUGGGGUCUAUGGGGUCCCCCACUGUGUCCUACGAGGUCUCCUAUUGGGGUCUAUGGGGUCCCCCAUUGCAAUCUAUGGGGCUGGGGUCCCCAUAGGUUAAGGGGAUAGGUCUAUGGGGUCUCCAUUGAGGUCUAUGGGGUCUCCAUUGGGGUCUAUGGAGUCUCCUAUUGGGGUCUAUAGGGUCCCCCAUUGCAAUCUAUGGGACUGAGGUCCCCAUUAGGGUCUAUGGGGUCUCCAUUGGUGUCAAUGGGGUCUCCAUUGGUGUCUAUGGGGUCCCCACGUGCAACCUAUGGGGCUGAGCUCUUCCCGUCGCUUCCUAUGGGUCCCCCACACCCCACAGUAGGUCCGGGGCUGCCGUACCCUCCCCCCCCCCCCCCCCCGUUGACCCCCAUUCCCCCCCCAUCCCGCAGCGUGUGGGGCUGAGACCCCCACCCCGGAGACGCCCCUGGCCCCAUUGACGCUGUGGGGCCGCGUGGAGGAGGCGGCCAAGAACUUCAGCGACCGCCUGUGGGGCAGCGAUGUGGGGCAGACCGUGCAGUCGCUGCUGACGGUGCUGCGCUCGGAGGCGGCGGACGCGCGGCUCCGCGUUGCGGAGUACGGGGCGGAGGUGGAGCAAAGCGUCGCCUCCCUCAGCAAACGCCUCCGCCGCCGUUUCUCCCGCGACGGCGAAGAGCUCCGCUCCCGGUGGGGCCAAUACCGCCAAGCCGUGCAAGACCGAGCCCUGCGCUGGAAGGAGCGCUGGAGAGGGAGGGGAGGGGAGGAGGAGGAGCGGGGAGAGGCGGUUUGAGAGGGGUUGUUUUGGGGGGG
ensembl:lncRNA